UAUAUAUAUACAGGGUGUAUAAAAAAAAACGCAAUCCUCGACUGAAAUGUAAAUUGCUAAACAAAUAAUAGACGAAUUAAACGUUAAAGUUUACAUUCAUUUUAAAGCGUAGCCAUUCAGCUUUCUAACAGUGGGUUGUUUCUUAAAUUUGACUCAUUGGUUCGCGGGUAAUAAUACUUUACGUUAUUGCGAUUGGAGAUUAAAAAAAUUGAGAUGGAAUAACAAACCGUUCUCAUAAAAAUAACUGAUUCUUUCAUUGAAACAAACGAAUGUUGCAUUUUAUUAAAUGGAUUGUAACAAUAAGUAUAAUUACGGCUUUUCUUCCACUAUUUUUAACUCAGUUUGAAACUUCAAAUGCGAUAUAAUUUUGGCUUGGACCAUCUAAGCUGACUGACAUCAGCUUGCUAUAAUUUCUG